rnacentral:rRNA from 1 species
AGGUGCCUUACGAGUUCCCUGGAACGGGACGCCUUAGAGGGUGAGAGCCCCGUACGUUUGGUUACCGAGCCUCUGUAAAGCUCCUUCGACGAGUCGAGUAGUUUGGGAAUGCUGCUCUAAAUGGGAGGUAAAUUUCUUCUAAAGCUAAAUACCGGCCAGAGACCGAUAGCGCACAAGUAGAGUGAUCGAAAGAUGAAAAGCACUUUGAAAAGAGGGUUAAAUAGCACGUGAAAUUGUUGAAAGGGAAGCGUUUAUGACCAGACUUUUUCCUAGCGGAUCAUCCGGCGUUCUCGCCGGUGCACUUCGCUAGGUUUAGGCCAGCAUCGGUUUUCGCAGGGGGAUAAAAGCAGUGGUAAUGUGGCUCCCUCCGGGGAGUGUUAUAGACCGCUGUAUAAUAC